AUUGAACGCUGGCGGCAUGCCUUACACAUGCAAGUCGAACGGUAACGCGGGGCAACCUGGCGACGAGUGGCGAACGGGUGAGUAAUGCAUCGGAACGUGCCCAGUAGUGGGGGAUAGCCCGGCGAAAGCCGGAUUAAUACCGCAUACGACCUACGGGUGAAAGCGGGGGACCGUAAGGCCUCGCGCUAUUGGAGCGGCCGAUGUCAGAUUAGGUAGUUGGUGGGGUAAAGGCCUACCAAGCCUACGAUCUGUAGCUGGUCUGAGAGGACGACCAGCCACACUGGGACUGAGACACGGCCCAGACUCCUACGGGAGGCAGCAGUGGGGAAUUUUGGACAAUGGACGCAAGUCUGAUCCAGCAAUGCCGCGUGCAGGACGAAGGCCUUCGGGUUGUAAACUGCUUUUGUACAGAACGAAAGGGCUCUGGUUAAUACCUGGGGCAGAUGACGGUACUGUAAGAAUAAGCACCGGCUAACUACGUGCCAGCAGCCGCGGUAA
rnacentral:rRNA from 1 species